rnacentral:rRNA from 1 species
AUUGAACGCUGGCGGAAUGCUUUACACAUGCAAGUCGAGCGGCAGCGCGGGGCAACCUGGCGGCGAGCGGCGAACGGGUGAGUAAUGCAUCGGAACGUACCCCGUCGUGGGGGAUAACUACCCGAAAGGGUAGCUAAUACCGCAUACGACCUGAGGGUGAAAGCGGGGGACCGAAAGGCCUCGCGCGAUGGGAGCGGCCGAUGCCGGAUUAGCUAGUUGGUAGGGUAAAGGCCUACCAAGGCGACGAUCCGUAGCUGGUCUGAGAGGACGACCAGCCACACUGGAACUGAGACACGGUCCAGACUCCUACGGGAGGCAGCAGUGGGGAAUUUUGGACAAUGGGCGAAAGCCUGAUCCAGCCAUUCCGCGUGAGUGAAGAAGGCCUGGUUGUAAGACUCUUCGGUCAGGAACGAAACGGUAGGAAGGACGUAAUAACC